rnacentral:rRNA from 1 species
AACGAACGCUGGCGGCAGGCUUAACACAUGCAAGUCGAACGCAUCCUUCGGGGUGAGUGGCAGACGGGUGAGUAACGCGUGGGAACGUGCCCUUCAGUUCGGGAUAACCCAGGGAAACUUGGGCUAAUACCGGAUACGUGCGAGAGCAGAAAGAUUUAUCGCUGAAGGAUCGGCCCGCGUCUGAUUAGCUAGUUGGUGGGGUAAUGGCCCACCAAGGCAACGAUCAGUAGCUGGUCUGAGAGGAUGAUCAGCCACAUUGGGACUGAGAACCGGCCCAAACUCCUACGGGAGGCAGCAGUGGGGAAUAUUGGACAAUGGGCGCAAGCCUGAUCCAGCCAUGCCGCGUGAGUGAUGAAGGCCUUAGGGUUGUAAAGCUCUUUCGUCCGGGACGAUAAUGACGGUACCGGAAGAAGAAGCCCCGGCUAACUUCGUGCCAGCCGCCGCGUAA